GAAAUAUGUAAACCGAGUGAGAGGACACUGACAGUUUUUGAGAAGCGAAGACCCGAGUCCACCAUGGCCGAUCAUCCUCACCACCACCAACAUCGACCGCACCGCCUCUCCGUGCCACCGCGGAACACCACUUUCGCCGCCACACCGAGGCCGUACCCUUCUUCAUUCCGAUACUCAACACCAACAUCAACGUCAAUACAAACACCCACUCCAACACCCUCCAAAAACCGUCGUCUUUCUUCUCUCUCUUUCUCCAAACCCAAAUCCAAAUCUUCCUUUUCCUCUCUCUUCCUUCUUCUCUUCUCCCUUCGCUCCCUCUAUUCCCUUCUUCCCUUCCUUCGGUCUUCUCCUUCCUUUUCCCUCUUCCCUUUCUCUUUUCUGGUUUCCCUUCUCUCCUUCUUCCUCACCCUUUCCUUUUCUUUCUUCCCUUCUUCUUCUAAACAUCCUUUUCAACAACACAACCCUAACCCUAAGCACCCUCUUUUUAUGUUAUCCUCUCUCACUCACCCUCAGCAGAGAACCCUGCUCGCUAAAUCCAUUGUUCUCGCGUUGGUCUUUCUCCUUCGCUUUCAAGCUCUUCGUUACUGUGGCACUGCCUCAAUGAUUCUCGCUGAGUUUAUGGGAAGCAUUGCUGCGCAACCCAAAAAUCAGAACCGGACUGGGUUGCCUAAGGUUCGUGGGUUCGUGUCUUUGUUUUUGGGAUUGUUCAUGUUGUCGUUUGGUUGGGAUCGAAUUGAAUGUUUUCCCUUUUGGGGAAACCCCGAUUGUGUGAGUGUGAGGGUUUGGCCUUUGUUGCUUGGUUUUAUGUCUGGUUUUCUAGCUUGUUAUGAACGUGUUUCUAUCAUGGAUUGGGGAAUGGUUAAACAGCUUGGUCAUAAACGGGUGCGUCUCAUUACCCUGUUUUUUACUACUGUUGUGCUCUUUGUUCCUGCUGUGAUUAGUUUUUUCAUGUUUGAAUCGGAAGAAGAUAGCGUUACCUUUGGGAGUUUGGUGUGGCCUCUGGUCAAUACUGUUGUCUUUGGUGUACUUUUGAGUGAGAACUAUUGCAGUUAUGAUGAUUUGGUGACUUUCAAAGAUUCUCAGAGGGAGUUUUUGGUCACUUUUGUCUGCACCCUUGUCUUGGAACUUUUUUAUUACCCUCAACUUUCACUUUGGGGUUUGUUGCUUUGUGGUUUGUUGCUCUAUGUGGCCGUGAGAGAUUUGGAUCCUUUCCGUUCUGAUGAGGUUGGGUCCCGGGAGGAGUUGUUAAGUGACAUGAUUAUGAAGCCUAUUAGACAUGUUUUGGGUGAGAGGAAGUCGCGGAAAAUUGCGCUUUUUCUUUUGAUCAAUGCUGGGUAUAUGGUUGUGGAAUUUGCUGCUGGAUUUAUGAGUAAUAGUCUUGGGCUCAUAUCUGAUGCAUGUCACAUGUUGUUUGAUUGUGCUGCUUUGGCCAUUGGGCUGUAUGCUUCUUAUAUAUCUCGUUUGCCUGCAAAUAGUCACUAUAACUACGGACGAGGAAGAUUUGAGGUUCUAUCAGGAUAUACUAAUGCUGUUUUUCUGGUUCUUGUGGGAGCACUGAUAGUGGUUGAAUCCUUUGAAAGGAUAUUGGAUCCUCAAGAGAUAUCAACUAAUAGUUUGUUGGUUGUCUCUAUAGGAGGGCUUGUUGUCAAUGUCAUUGGCUUGAUAUUCUUUCAUGAGGAGCAUCAUCAUGCACAUGGAUUGUCUGGAUCAUGUUCACAUUCACAUUCUCAUUCUCAUUCUCAUUCACAUUCACAUUCACAUUCUCAUUCUCACUCACACACAGACUCAGAGUUCCAUAGUCACCACCCCCACCAACAUCAUGACCUGCAUUGCCAUGGUAAGCAUCAUUGUGAAAGACAUGGAAGCAGUCAAGAAUUUAUUUCUGUUUCCAGUGAUUGCCAAGACAAUUCAUGUUCUAGUGAUCCUGGCCAUCACAACCUCUGUAGUCACGAGAGAAAGGCUGAGUUUCAUGCAGACAAUGAUUGCAUUCAGAAGUUUAAGCAUGACCAUACCCAGCACAAUCAUGAGAGGACGGCUGAGUAUCAUGAAGAUAAUCACAGUAAUCAGAGCUUUAAGCAUCACGACAAUGCCUGGCAGCUUGGCCACCAUGACCAUGUUGAACAUCAUGAUCAGACUGACCACAGUUGUCAUGAUCAUGAAGCCUCACAUGUUCACCAAGCGCACAACCAUCACCAUAUUGAUCACAAUAUGGAAGGAAUAUUUUUGCACGUUCUUGCUGACACAAUGGGGAGUGUUGGCGUUGUUAUAUCUACCCUAUUAAUUAAGUACAAGGGAUGGCUUAGUGCUGAUCCUGCUUGCUCAAUUUUUAUUUCAGUUUUAAUUAUAUCCUCCGUGAUACCUCUACUCAGAAAUUCAGCUGAAAUUCUGCUCCAAAGAGUUCCAAGGUUGCGUGAGCAUGAGUUGACAGAUGCCUUAACUAAUGUUUUGAAGUUAAGGGGUGUUUAUGACAUCCAAAAGUUUCAUUUAUGGAGCUUCACAAACACAGAUGUAGUUGGUACUUUGCAUCUUCACGUUUCAACAGAUACUGACAAGACAUCCACCAAGUCUCAGGUUUUCCAUCUGUUACAUAAUGCUGGAAUCAAGGAUUUAACCUUGCAAGUAGAAUGUGUUGGAUAACUUUUUAUUAUGUAGUUUUUUCCUUAACUGACUUACUUGUGAAGGUUGUUAAGAUCAGAGAUCGAAAUUUCCUGAUCAUUGUCAUACGGAAUGCUUUAUAAUGGUUACCAACAAAUAUCUAUUUAUUUUCAUUUGUGACACCACUGUAUAACUUGUGAGAUGGUAUAACUUGUGAAAUAAUUGUAUCAUCAAGUCAUGCACGAGUUUCAAUUCCUGAAACUAUCCAAAGAGAGACUGAUAAACAGCUAGAUUCAAAAGAAGAUCAUGGCCAAAGGUGAAACUACCAAUGCCGUCCCUUUUUACAAACUUUUCUCUUUUGGAGACUCUUUAUAUCAUGCAUUGAUGUUUGUGGGGACAAUCAAUGCGGUUGGAAAUGGACUUGCCACUCCCCCAAUGAUUCAUAUUUUUGGAAAUUGAAUUGAUGCAUUUGGGAAAACCACAAACCCCAAAGAAGGGGUUCAUGAUGUUUCUAAGCUCGGGCAUUGCAGAAAUCCUUUUUCAAAUCAAGCCUUGUGUAUUGAAGCAAAGAUAUUUUAUGUUUUGUAUAGCAGUAAGCCAGUAACCAAUAUACUUCUUCAAAAUAUGGAGAUGGUAUCAAAUUGAUUGAAAUGGAAGCAUCCGGGUCACAAUAACUCUGAUAGUGGACUUGGUCCCCUGCCUUCUCUAUUCUAUACUUACUAUAAAGAAAGGGUCUUUUACUUUGCCUUUUUAUCUAAUGUAUUUUUGACGUUUUGCCUUUUUAUGUUAAAAAUUCUUUCACGUUAUUUAAUUUAUUAUUUGUUCACUCUUCCUCU